rnacentral:rRNA from 1 species
UGGGGAGUAUUGGUUCAAUGGAGGAAACUCUGAACCAGCGACGCCGCGUGAGGGAAGAAGGUCUUCGGAUUGUAAACCUUUGUUGACAGGGACGAUACAAGACGGUACCUGUCGAGGAAGCCACGGCUAACUACGUGCCAGCAGCCGCGGUAAUACGUAGGUGGCGAGCGUUAUCCGGAUUUACUGGGUGUAAAGGGUGAGUAGGCGGGCAAACAAGUCAGAUGUGAAAUCUAUGUGCUCAACGCAUAGACUGCGUCUGAAACUGUAUGUCUUGAGUGUCGGAGGGGUAGAUGGAAUUCCCGGUGUAGCGGUGAAAUGC